rnacentral:rRNA from 1 species
UGGAGCAUGUGGUUUAAUUCGAUGCAACGUGAAGAACCGUUACCAGCCCUGGACAUCCUUGGAACUGUCAGAGAUGACAUGUGCCUUCGGGAGCCAAGUGACAGGUGCUGCAUGGCUGUCGUCAGCUCGUGUCGUGAGAUGUUGGGUUAAGUCCCGUAACGAGCGCAACCAUUGUCCUUAGUUGCCAGCGGUUCGGCCGGGAACUCUAAGGAGACUGCUCGGUGAUAAACCGGAGGAAGGUGGGGAUGACGUCAAGUCAUCAUGGCCAUUAUGGGCUGGGUUACACACGUGCUACAAUGGUCGGUACAGAGGGUCGCGAAGCCGCGAGGUGGAGCCAAUCCCAGAAAGCCGAUCGUAGUCCGGAUUGCAGUCUGCAACUCGACUGCAUGAAGUCGGAAUCGCUAGUAAUCGCGAAUCAGCAUGUCGCGGUGAAUACGUUCCCGGGCCUAGUACACACCGCCCGUCACACCAUGGGAGUUGGCUGCACCAGAAGUAGAUAGCUUAACCUUCGGGAGGGCGUUUACCACGGUGUGGUAAUGACUGGGUGAAGUCGUAA